GCAGCAGAGCGAGACCUGGUACUCCGACGGCCAUUUACGAUGGCAGGGUAGGCCCUUGCCCUCGAGCCGUGGAGGCCAGACUUCUUUCCUGUGGAAGGAGUGAUUUCAACAGCUUUGGUGUGGGUGUGCCUCCCUCGGCUUUCGACGGAGUACUGGGAUGCGGAAGCUAUCCGAAAGGUAUUGCGGCUCGCUAGCGAGCUGGCUUUCUUUGAUGAGUACACGAUGG
rnacentral:lncRNA from 1 species